UUCUUUUUAAUUUAUCUUUUAAAUAUUUAUCUAAUAUACCUUUAUGAAUAUAAAAAAAUUUUAUAAUUUUUUUUAAAGGUCUUUUUAAUAGUUUUAAUUUUUUUAGUAAAACAAUUUUUUCUCUAUUAAAAACAUAUAUAGUAAUGAUAACUUUAGAACUAGUGUGUUUUAGUUCAGCUUUACUAAUAAAUAUUUUAUUAAAUGAUGAAUAUUUUUUAAUAGAAA